CACCGUUCUACUUUCUACUUCAGUGAUUUUGACAGAGCAGGAAAGUAAAUCUGAUCCAUGCCGCUCCAUGUUGGCUGGAAGUAGUAUCCCCCUCACUGGCAGCUAAUGACUCUUCACAACUCAAUUCAAGCAUCACCUCCUCAGGAAAGGGUCCUUAUACACAUAACUAAGUUCAGGAGCUUGAGAUGUGGAGACCAUCCUGGAUGAUUCAGGUGGACCUAAAUGCAAUGACUAGUGUCUUCAUGAGACACAGAGGAGAGGAGGAGGCAGAGAGUGGAGCAAUGUGACCACAGGCCACAGACAACCUGCAGUGGCCGGAAGCUGGAGGAAGCAAAAACAGAUUGUUCCCUAGACCCUUUGGAGAAAGCGUGUCCCCACUGUCACCUUAAUUCCAGACUUCUG
rnacentral:lncRNA from 1 species